rnacentral:lncRNA from 1 species
UACUGCCCAACUAACUCAAGAUAAUUAAGCUAAGAGCAGCACUAAUUAAAAAAUAUAUAUAAUUAAUAAUAAUUAAUCCAAUUACAAUAAUCUGAGUCCACUAUAUCGAGAGCUUGAUAAGAUUAAUUCAUCAAAGAUGGCUAAUUCCAUGAGACGGUCGGGGCCAAUUUCGCCUUCAUUGUCGAUGAAGAGCUUGAGCAGAAUGUUGCAGAAGCCAGCUUCUCCGGGUUGUGCUUUGGCAAAG